rnacentral:rRNA from 1 species
GAAGGGUGCAAGCGUUACUCGAAAUUACUGGGCGUAAAGCGUGCGUAGGUAGUUCGUUAAGUCUGCCGUGAAAGCCCCGGGCUCAACCUGGGAAUGGCGGUGGAUACUGGCGGACUAGAGUGCGGUAGAGGGUGGUGGAAUUCCCGGUGUAGCAGUGAAAUGCGUAGAGAUCGGGAGGAACAUCUGUGGCGAAGGCGGCCACCUGGACCAGCACUGACACUGAGGCACGAAAGCGUGGGGAGCAAACAGGAUUAGAUACCCUGGUAGUCCACGCCCUAAACGAUGCGAACUGGACGUUGGGCUCAAUUGAGAGCUCAGUGUCGAAGCUAACGCGUUAAGUUCGCCGCCUGGGGAGUACGAUCGCAAGACUG